UACGGAGGGGGCGAGCGUUAUUCGGAAUUAUUGGGCGUAAAGGGCGCGUAGGCGGCUUGGUAAGUCAAAGGUGAAAUCCCUCGGCUCAACUGAGGAAUUGCCUUUGAAACUGCCAGGCUUGAGGCCGGGAGGGGGUAGCGGAAUUCCCAGUGUAGCGGUGAAAUGCGUAGAUAUCAGGAGGAACACCGGUGGUGUAGACGGCUCUCUGGACCGUAACUGACGCUGAGACACGAAAGCGUGGGUAGCAAACAGG
rnacentral:rRNA from 1 species